GGAAUAAAGCGAUAUUGGUGAGGUUCAAUCCGAAGACGAGUUUACACUUGCUUUAUGUAAACAUCCAUCUCAGAUUGAGCCGCGCCAAUAUCACUUUUCUAUUG
rfam:Ipomoea nil DNA, scaffold: scaffold0869, cultivar: Tokyo-kokei standard.